rnacentral:rRNA from 1 species
GAUGAACGCAGGCGGCGUGCUUAACACAUGCAAGUCGAACGAUGAAGCCCAGCUUGCUGGGUGGAUUAGUGGCGAACGGGUGAGUAACACGUGAGUAACCUGCCCUUGACUCUGGGAUAAGCCUGGGAAACUGGGUCUAAUACUGGAUAUGACUUCUCAUCGCAUGGUGGGGGGUGGAAAGAUUUAUUGGUCUUGGAUGGACUCGCGGCCUAUCAGCUUGUUGGUGAGGUAAUGGCUCACCAAGGCGACGACGGGUAGCCGGCCUGAGAGGGUGACCGGCCACACUGGGACUGAGACACGGCCCAGACUCCUACGGGAGGCAGCAGUGGGGAAUAUUGCACAAUGGGCGCAAGCCUGAUGCAGCGACGCCGCGUGAGGGAUGACGGCCUUCGGGUUGUAAACCUCUUUCAGUAGGGAAGAAGCGAGAGUGACGGUACCUGCAGAAGAAGCGCCGGCUAACUACGUG